rnacentral:rRNA from 1 species
UACGACGGGGGCUAGCGUUGCUCGGAAUCACUGGGCGUAAAGCGCACGUAGGCGGAUUGUUAAGUCAGGGGUGAAAUCCUGGAGCUCAACUCCAGAACUGCCCUUGAUACUGGCGAUCUUGAGUUCGGGAGAGGUGAGUGGAACUGCGAGUGUAGAGGUGAAAUUCGUAGAUAUUCGCAAGAACACCAGUGGCGAAGGCGGCUCACUGGCCCGAUACUGACGCUGAGGUGCGAAAGCGUGGGGAGCAAACAGG